rnacentral:rRNA from 1 species
CAAUAGCGUAUAUUAAAGUUGUUGCAGUUAAAAAGCUCGUAGUUGGAUCUCGGGUCCAGGCCUGUGGUGCCUUUAACCAGGACACUGCUUGCCCUGACCUACCUGCCGGUUUUCCCUUGGUGCUCUUGACUGAGUGUCUCGGGUAGCCGGAACGUUUACUUUGAAAAAUUAGAGUGUUCAAAGCAGGCCUAUGCUCUGAAUAGGUUAGCAUGGAAUAAUAAAAUAGGACUUUGGUUCUAUUUUGUUGGUUUCUUAGGACCGAAGUAAUAGAUUAAUAGGGACGAGUUGGGGGCGAUUCGUAUUUAACUGUCAGAGGUGAAAUUCUUGGAUUGUUAAAGACGGACUACUGCGAAAGCAUUUGUCCAAGGAUGUUUUCAUUGAUCAAGAACGAAAGUUAGGGGAUCGAAGACGAUCAGAUACCAU